rnacentral:rRNA from 1 species
GACGAACACUGGCGGCAUGCCUAACACAUGCAAGUCGAACGGAGAUUAUUUCGGUAAUCUUAGUGGCGAACGGGUGAGUAACGCGUGGGCAACCUGCCCUCUAGAUGGGGACAACAUCCCGAAAGGGGUGCUAAUACCGAAUGUGACAGCAAUCUCGCAUGAGGAUGCUGUGAAAGAUGGCCUCUAUUUAUAAGCUAUCGCUAGAGGAUGGGCCUGCGUCUGAUUAGCUAGUUGGUGGGGUAACGGCCUACCAAGGCGAUGAUCAGUAGCCGGUCUGAGAGGAUGAACGGCCACAUUGGGACUGAGACACGGCCCAGACUCCUACGGGAGGCAGCAGUGGGGAAUCUUCCGCAAUGGGCGAAAGCCUGACGGAGCAAUGCCGCGUGAGUGAUGAAGGAAUUCGUUCCGUAAAGCUCUUUUGUUUAUGACGAAUGUGCAGAUUGUGAACAAUGAUCUGUAAUGACGGUAGUAAACGAAUAAGCCACGGCUAACUACGUG